rnacentral:rRNA from 1 species
GAUGAACGCUAGCUACAGGCUUAACACAUGCAAGUCGAGGGGCAGCAUGAACUUAGCUUGCUAAGUUUGAUGGCGACCGGCGCACGGGUGAGUAACACGUAUCCAACCUGCCGAUGACUCGGGGAUAGCCUUUCGAAAGAAAGAUUAAUACCCGAUGGCAUAGUUCUUCCGCAUGGUAGAACUAUUAAAGAAUUUCGGUCAUCGAUGGGGAUGCGUUCCAUUAGGUUGUUGGCGGGGUAACGGCCCACCAAGCCUUCGAUGGAUAGGGGUUCUGAGAGGAAGGUCCCCCACAGUGGAACUGAGACACGGUCCAAACUCCUACGGGAGGCAGCAGUGAGGAAUAUUGGUGAAUGGACGAGGGUCUGAACCAGCCAAGUAGCGUGAAGGAUGACUGCCCUAUGGGUUGUAAACUUCUUUUAUACGGGAAUAAAGUGAGGCACGUGUGCCUUUUUGUAUGUACCGUAUGAAUAAGAAUCGGCUAACUCCGUG